rnacentral:rRNA from 1 species
AUUGAACGCUGGCGGCAUGCUUUACACAUGCAAGUCGAACGGCAGCGCGGGCUUCGGCCUGGCGGCGAGUGGCGCACGGGUGUGUAAUGCAUCGGAACGUGCCCAGCAGUGGGGGAUAGCCCGGCGAAAGCCGGAUUAAUACCGCAUACGACCUGAUGGUGAUAGCGGGGGGCCGAAAGGCCUCGCGCGCUUGGAGCGGCCGAUGUCGGAUUUGCUAGUUGGUGGGGUAAAGGCUUACCAAGGCGACGAUCCGUAGCUGGUCUGAGAGGACGACCGGCCACACUGGGACUGAGACACGGCUCAGACUCCUACGGGAGGCAGCAGUGGGGAAUUUUGGACAAUGGGGGCAACCCUGAUCCAGCCAUGCCGCGUGCGGGAAGAAGGCCUUCGGGUUGUAAACCGCUUUUGUUCGGGAAGAAAUCCUCUGGGCUAAUACCCCGGGGGGAUGACGGUACCGGAAGAAUAAGCACCGGCUAACUACGUG